rnacentral:rRNA from 1 species
AGCGAACGCUGGCGGCAGGCCUAACACAUGCAAGUCGAACGGACCCUUCGGGGUUAGUGGCGGACGGGUGAGUAACACGUGGGAACGUGCCUUUUGGUUCGGAACAACUCAGGGAAACUUGAGCUAAUACCGAAUGUGCCCUUCGGGGGAAAGAUUUAUCGCCAUUAGAGCGGCCCGCGUCUGAUUAGCUUGUUGGUGAGGUAAUGGCUCACCAAGGCGACGAUCAGUAGCUGGUCUGAGAGGAUGAUCAGCCACAUUGGGACUGAGACACGGCCCAAACUCCUACGGGAGGCAGCAGUGGGGAAUCUUGCGCAAUGGGCGAAAGCCCGACGCAGCCAUGCCGCGUGAAUGAUGAAGGUCUUAGGAUUGUAAAAUUCUUCCACCGGGGACGAUAAUGACGGUACCCGGAGAAGAAGCCCCGGCUAACUUCGUGCCAGCCGCCGCAGUAAAAC